GGGACGCUGACCUCCCUCCGCCCGGUCUGCCGUUAGCCCCCUCCCACCCGUUCUUCUCCAGGCUCCCUCGCCCUGCCUGGGGCGCAGGACUAAGGUCAGCUCGGGUCAGGGUCACCCGAGGGGCAAAGACCCACCAUGAGGGAAAUGCUGCGGCAGCAGCGCACCCGCGCCGCCCUAGGAUGCAGCCCUGCCGCGUGACUGACUCUCCUGGCGCUUCGUAGUCAAGGUCGCUCACUUCCAGUUGGCAUAAAAUGGAGGAUGGUGGCAGCCCACGUCUUAUCUUCGCUGCCCGGGGGUGGUUUCCAGCGGAGAGGACAAGUCCCAGCAGAUGACUGGGGCCCGUUGAGCCGACAUAGGUAUUCACUGCUGUGUCUGGGCUGAGGAAGCACUAGAGAUACUGAACAGGUCAGCUACUAAGGCCCCCACAAGUGACCAUGCUCAGUCUGCAACAAUUAGAAGGCCCCCUGGCAAGAAGAUACUGAACCGAAGAUGUUAAGGUGCUGGAACACACCUCUUGCAUCUAGCCUUGAGAAGUAUCCUGGUUUGAUAGGUAGCAAGUGGAAGUGCCAACUAUAAGUAUGAUGCAACCUCUACAAUAAUUCUGUCUGAUGUGGCAUGUACAGAAUCCUUAAUAUAUGGAGUGGUAUAAAGGUUUUUCUGGCACUUGUUUUAGAUGACCAGCUAACUCUCCCGUGAGUAAAUCGGUCAUCCCAAGCUCAUGCCAAUUUAAAAAAAAAUAAAAUGUACAUAUAAGAUCCAGGUUAUGAAGACAUGUGUACCAAAAAGCUAAAUUCUGAUGUUACCAAAAAAAAAAAAACUAUUGCUAGUUAAUCGGUAGCUUGCAAUUGUGACAUUGUGUGAUUGAAGUUACAAAACUAACACUAUGCAUACACUCCGCAGAAUGUUAUUCAUAUGUAUAAGACAAAUGUGUAGGGAGCCCUUCCUCAUCCAAGCCAAUGACUUAGAUUUACAAGUUGGGAAAAAUCUGCAAACAAUUACCUAAGUCUCUUGUACAUUAUAUAGUUUUAAUAGCACAUUUUUUCCAGUUGGAAAAAUUUUAAUCUUUUUUUAAAGGCAACUUUAAAAAA